rnacentral:misc_RNA from 1 species
GCUGAAGAACGCAGCGAAAUGCGAUAAGUAAUGUGAAUUGCAGAAUUCAGUGAAUCAUCGAAUCUUUGAACGCACAUUGCGCCCCUUGGUAUUCCGAGGGGCAUGCCUGUUCGAGCGUCAUUAUAACCCCUCAAGCUCAGCUUGGUGUUGGGGCCUGCCGCACGGGCAGCCCUUAAAAUCAGUGGCGGUGCCAUCUGGCUCUAAGCGUAGUAAUUCUUCUCGCUAUAGAGUCCCGGUGGAUGCUUGCCAUUAACCCCCAAUUUUCUAUGGUUGACCUCGGAUCAGGUAGGGAUACCCGCUGAACUUAAGCAUAUCAAUAGCGGAGG